rnacentral:rRNA from 1 species
UACGGAGGGUGCGAGCGUUAAUCGGAAUCACUGGGCGUAAAGCGCACGUAGGCGGCCAGAUAAGUCAGAUGUGAAAGCCCCGGGCUUAACCUGGGAAUGGCAUUUGAUACUGUCUGGCUAGAGUAUGGUAGAGGGGGGUGGAAUUCCAGGUGUAGCGGUGAAAUGCGUAGAGAUCUGGAGGAACACCGGUGGCGAAGGCGGCCCCCUGGACCAAUACUGACGAUGAGGUGCGAAAGCGUGGGGAGCAAACAGG